rnacentral:sRNA from 1 species
GUGAUGUCACUGCAAGCUCUGUGUGAUCGUAGGUGGUAUUAGAGCUCCAGGAGCGAAAGCAGGGAGAGCAGUGGAAGAGAGACGAUGUCGCUCUCAGACAAGCAGCCAGCCUGUCUCACUGCCGCGUACGGUCAGCUCAGUAAGGGCAAGCCUGCAGAGUGCCGAAUGGACUCCCCAAAAGAAAUCAGUCAAGCCAGAUUCGAGUGGCAGAGGACAGAGGGCAAACUGAAUGAAAUUGGGCUGAAUGUCAGCAUGGACGGGCAACCGAAAGAUGGGCUUGUGAAGAAUGCCAGCUUCCUGGAGCAGAACAAGCUCUGCUUUUUUGAGGGGAAGCUAGACAAAGAGCUCAGCACUGAAGUGCAGGACAAGGACUGUCAAGCAGCCUCAGGUCACCUUGAGAGCAGGUAUGUGAUUUCAGAGACCUGCCAUCCCUUGGAGGGGAACUCGGUACACCAGAAGACCUCCGAGUUCCAUCUGGGACUCAUAGAGGGGCCAGACAAAAACAAAACCGUUCCAGUUCAGGGGAAGGUGGCAGGGAAGAAUGGACUAGAGACCAAGAGCCAGUCAGAUCUGGAUUUCCCUGGGGCUGCUGACAUCCCUACCACAUAUGUUAAGGAGCAGGAAACCAGUGUUUGGAACCCCAACUUUCAUCCAGUGGCUCAAGGCUCUCUGGGCUCAAGGGACACAACUCCGGGAGAGAUGGAGAAUAGCAUCACCCCUGGCUGCCCAGUGAUUGGGGUGGUAAAUGAUAACUCUGAGCAGCUGAAAUGUGAGUCCCCACUCCUGGUGUCUCUAGCCCACCCAGCCCCCAUUAUUGAGCAUUCACCCACCGCCAUUCCGCCAGUCACUAUGGUGUUCACCCAGGAACAUUUGAAUGCAAGCUGUCACAUCAGAGACCAUGAUAAGGAGUUGGAGAAAUUGAGUUCUACCGAGGAGGAGGCUGUGCUCAACCAAGCCCCCCAGCAGAAAAAGGCAGUGCGCAGGGCCCUGUCUGAAUGUUCUCACCUCUCAGUUCCCCCAGCUGUCAACCUUGCAGAUAAGUACCCUGAACUCCCUGCCCGAGAAGAGCCUUCUUCUGGCCUGCUGCCUCCCCCUAGUAGCCCAAUGCCUAGUCCUACGCCUGGGAAACUGGGAGCUCCUGCUAUGAAGCGCUCCAUGACUGUGGGUGAGGAACAGACAGCUAGCUACAAAUUGAGCCCUGGGAAACUGCCCAUCUUGUCUACUAAAGAGAUACCUCCUUUCAUCUGUGAGGAACCAGUGGCCAAGAAGAGAGAAGAAUUGGCUCACUUCAGCAACAGCAGCAGCAACUCUGGGAAGAAGGAACUCGGCACUGCUGGAUUAUAUCUCCAUAGUAAGCUGGAGCAGAUUCCUGAAGGAAGCAGCAAGGGAAAAGGGCAGGAAGAUUUUAGCGAAACUAGAAUUGAUACAUGCUCGCAGGUUUGCCAGCGAGGAGAGAAACAGCCAGGACAGACGGCCCUGGCAGGGAAGAAAGAAAUUGAGGUCACUGCAACCCAGAGCACUCCAUCGUUCCUGUGUGAAAAGCCCCCACGUGAUGGAAUAGCCAGGCCAGAAGAAGGAAGGCCUGCUGUGAGUGGGACCGGAAAUGAUAUCACCACCCCACCAAACAAGGAGCUCCCACCAAGCCCAGAGAAGAAAACAAAGGUAGGUGCCAAAAUGGUGGUUAUCUUCUAGUGCCAUAAUUUUUAAACGGAGUAUCUUCUGCUGUUAUUGCUUGAAUCACGAAUGAAAUUUCUUUUUUCUGAGCUAUUAUUGUCCUUCCUCAUGUUUGGACAUGCUUAGAAAAUAUCUUGUAUUCUCAUUUACCACAGUGGCCUAAACCAACUUUAAAAUCUCAGCCUUUGACCCUAUUAUCUUAUGUAUCUGUAAAAAAUGUUCUGUAGAGGCCGGGCAUGGUGGCUCAUGCCUGUAAUCCCAGCACUUUGGGAGGCCGAGGCGGGCGGAUCACAUCAGGAGAUGGAGACCACCCUGACCAACAUGGUGAAAUCCCAUCUCUACUAAAAAUACUAAAAUUAGCUGGGCAUGGUGAUGCAUGCCUGUAAUCCCAGCUACUCAAGAGGCUGAGGCAGGAGGAUCGCUUGAACCAAGGAGUUGGAGGUUGCGGUGAGCUGAGAUCAUGCCAUUGCACUGCGCUCCAUCUC